rnacentral:misc_RNA from 1 species
AACGCUGGCGAGAUAAACUCGGAGCAGAUUCAACGUGGUAUCUUUACAUAAAGGCUUAAAUUUCCUGUCUGAUAUCCUGAUUUAUUGUGGAAAAUUGCAACGGCCGUGCCAUUAACCAAUGCGCUCGCGGAUAGACGCUGGGACUUUCUCCGCGAACUGCGUGAUGAUUGCUACGCCGGGCUUUUCCAGGCAACGACGAAAAAUCGGUGAGUUUUUACCAAGAUCUUCUUUUCAAUCGUUGAGAAAAAUUUGAAUUAUGGUGGGAAUUGGGUUA